CACGUGUGAGAGAGAGUGAAGGGAAGCUGCCAAACCGACCCAACUACAGUCCGGAAAACCCGACCCGGAACCCGGAACCUUGACCCGGCCAUAACUCCCAUUUCCGGCCACAGUUUCGGCCGAUCUUGGUACCAAUCUGAAGCUUAGAAGCCGAACGUCGUUCCCCUGCCAUCCUUGUCGCCGAAAACCAACCGGACCGCCGGAGAUCGAAGCUUGAAACCCGCGACUGUUUCACUUUGCUUCGCCGGGAUUUUCGCCGGUUUUGGGUGACACGACCGGUUGGAUCCUGUUCCCCACGACUCCCUCUUCCAUUUCCGACCAUCCAUAGGCACCGAGAGUCACUGUUCUUCCGCCGGUCGAUUGUUGGAAUUCACGGCUGCCGAGCUCGAUUCCGGCGCCGUUGCCGCGCGUUGGAUCUCACCGCCGGUACCAUUGAACUCAGCGUGAUUGGAACUUUCAGAUUUGAGCUUCCUAGCCAGCGUUGACCAUAUUCCGGUGACCGUUGACCGGCAAGGGCAUUUUGGUAAUUUCACACUAUGAGGGCAAUUUUGUAAUUUCUGAGCAUGUGGAUAUUUUAGUAAUUCCUAGAAUUGAGGAUUGGGUGUAAUUACGAUUCCGAGGGUAAUUCGGUGAUGUACGAUUUCAGAGUAUGUGUUAAUGAUUUACGGACUCAAGGGCAUUUUAGUAAUUUUAUGGACACGGGAGUUGUCAAUUAUGGAUAGAUGUUCGUUUCGAGUUUAUUGCAUAAAAAUAAGAAAAGUGGAUUCAAAUGUGGUAUGAUUUAAAAAUAUGGUUAAGAGGUAUGUGAAUAUGAGUAUAAUGAUUGUUUUUGAAAUCAUUAUACAGUACCCUUCCCUCUAGAUACAAUGAUACAGGUGAUAUGAGAUGAGAGGCCUUUGGGGCCCGUCUGAACACACAUAGAGGCUUUUGGCCGUGUGUUUGGGCGCUUUUGCCUUUUGGGGGCAUAUGCAUCCGGUAUGAUGAUUACAGAGAUACAUAUAUGAGAUAUAGACAGAUAUUGAGAUACAAAUGAUACAGAUGAGUUACAGGCCUUUGGGGCCCGUCUGAGUACACACAGAGGCUUUGGGCCGUGUGCUUGAGCGCUUUUGUCCUUUGGGGACUAGAUUAUGCAUGCACAGAUAUGAUGAGAUAUGAGAUGGUAUUUCCCUGUCUAUUCGUGUAGCUUCGGGGCGUGACGUUACCCAGAUAGUACGUCGUUGCCCGUCCGUUGAGGUCCGGAUAUGACGAGAUUAUUUCCCUGGGUACUUGUUUGGUGAUGAUUUCCAGAUUUGUGAAUUCUAUAUGAUAUUGUGAUAUGAUUUCCAUGGUUAGUAUCUGAUUUAAAUGUUUAAUGAUUUGUUACUGGUUUCUCGCUUAUGGUUUAAUGAAAGCGUGUUUGGAAAUGGUAUGAUUAUUUCUUUUAAAGUAAGAAUUAAUUUUUAUAACUACUAUCCAUUCACUGAUCUCACUGAGUUUUAAACUCAUCCCGUUUUUAUUAUAUUUUCCCCCCUCACUAGGAGGUUGCAGGUACACCAGAUCGACCCAACGACUGUAAAUAUAUUUUGAGUCUUGGCCACGUGAUGGUGUUAGACGAUAUAAAUAUUUUUGUUAGGACAUCUUGGUUAUCUUGUCCUGUUGGGAUUGUAUAAUUUUGUUAUAUUAUUCUUUUAGGAUUAAGAAUAAAACUCUGGAGAUAUAAAACUCAUCAUUUUGGUUGAGGAUGUUGAACACUGGAGUUUGUUGUAUAUUGAAUUGUAUUGGGAGUGUUAUAUUCAUAUUUGUAGAUUGAGAGUGUUAUAUAUAUAAAGGAGACUCUGCCGAAUUUUCGGCAGAAUCUGUACGAAUAAAAUUAUUAUCAAGUCUGUUUUGAUGAGACUAGAUAGACGCGCCUAGGGGGAUUCGGGGCAGGUCGUUUCAUGAUGUCCCUGAUGUUUUUUAAAAAAGCAAAAGAGAAAAAAAAAUUGACACCUAAUUUUAAAUUAUUUUAAAUUUUAUUAAAACCAUCAAAAUGAGACCUCCUCAUCAGAAAGAAAAAGAAACUCAGAAGAAAAUCUGAGGCCAACGUCAACUGAAACUAUACUCUGGAAACGCAUCAUGCGUCAGCCUUUGGUGCCAGGAGAUGCUGUGAAAGCCAUGUGUUUGUCCUCCAACGGAACGGGCUGAAAAAGCCAUGUAAAACCUACAUCCAUAUUCUCUUGGUUUCGAAUUCCAUGCCUAUCUCCAUCUAGAUACAUAAAAUGGGACAUUCUCACAAGAUUCAAGAUGAAGUCAACUGUAGUUUGAGAUAAGGGAGAAUCUUUAUCAGCUCUGUAUGCAUUCACCUUCUUCCACAUCUGUCUAAUCACAUCCUUGAUGUGUUCACGAGUAACUUCCUCCGAGGCACCAGUUUCAUGCAUGUAACACUGGAUUGAUUUCGGAACAUCCCCUCUAUGUAUCUCGUGCUGAUGAAUUAUUGUGGGGGGAAAAAAGUACGAUCAAUUCAUAUAUAGAGGAUUAAUUCAACUUUUGUCUUCUUUAAAAAAAAAAAAAAUCAUACCGAUGCAGUUCCCAAAUCAUCUUGAAGACGAAAAAUCUUGCAUGACCAGUGAACUAAAUCUGGAUUACUUUCUAGAAAUUCUAGCUCCUUCUCAAUGAUCGGAUUUGUACCAGAAAGGUAUGCACUUAUUGUGACUAUUGGGCCUGCUAUUGAUACCAGUCCAUUUUCCAAGAAUUCUCCCAGUGUUGGUGUGUACUUACUAUGGUACCAUUUCGCCUCCACUAAGUAGGCUUGUAUUAAGCCAAGCCACUGAUGCACAUGACACAGAAAAUAAAACUAGUCACAAUUUAUAAUUUUCGAGACAAAAACAUUAUAAUUUAAAAAGGAUAAAUCAAAGGAAAGGAACGGCAGGAGAGGUGAAAUUAAUAUUUUGCGUACUGCUUUUUUUAUACUCCGAAGCAUUUCAAAAUCCUGUUGCUUGAGUACGUAAUAAGCAAAUUCAUUAACAAAGUUGUAAAGAGCAAAAUAACUCAAUUUCAUAUAGUCCGGAAGGUGGUUGAAAGCAUAAUUGAUGUCCCACCUGGAGAAAAGGGGGACACAAAAAAAUCAUAUAAAUGGUCUAUUAAUCUGAGAAGCAGCAUGCAGCUAACUUGCAGUUGAAUUAAUCAAUUAGAUAUAACAUUAAUUUGCCAGCAAACCUCUCAACAGCAUCGGUGAAUCGCUCAAGUUCAUCCAGAGUUCCAUAAACAUCAUAAAUGUCAUCAAUCACUGUAAUUAUAGAAAUCAAGAUUGUGAGUAUUCUCCUGCAGUAGGCCAAUCGAGGCUCAGAUCCUAUCCCCAUGCUCCAUAAGAAGGAUGCUACGAACCAGUUCCUCGCAGAGCUCAAUUUUUCUCCAAUACCCGUAUCCUUCCACCACCUUCAUGGGAAAAUUAAAACGAAUAUUACGAUUUACGACACACGUUACAUAUAUCUAUAUAUAGAGAGUUAGCUUUCAAUCUGGAAUUCUGAAGACUCUUUCUCUGAUGCAAACAUUCCCAUUUUAUAAAGCGCAUGACUCGUGGCUUUCCAAUAAUUUAUAUAUUAGAAUUGAGGAUUGGGUGUAAUUACGAUUCCGAGGGUAAUUCGGUGAUGUACGAUUUCAGAGUAUGUGUUAAUAAUUUACGAACUCAAGGGCAUUUUAGUAAUUUUAUGGACACGGGAGUUGUCAAUUAUGGAUAGAUGUUCGUUUCGAGUUUAUUGCAUAAAAUUUAGUCAUAAUUCCGAUUUACUGAAAAUCAUUAUGUCGUUUCCUUGAUUUAGGAGGAUCCACGAGCGAGAACCGGUCCGCGGACGUGGACGAUAACCGACCGUGAACACCGUCACUGUGAGUGGAAUAUACAAAACCUAUUUUCAUAGUUAAUUAUGAUAGUAAAUCAUGUUUGCGAAAUAAGUAUUUUAAAUAUUCUGAUUUAAUGACUUCCUCGAACUAGAUGUUAUUCACGCAUUGGUAUAUUAUUAAAGUAUUUGAUUAAUGAUUUUGCGUAUCGACUUUGAAUGAGCAUGAUAGUAUUUUAAAAAUAAGAAAAGUGGAUUCAAAUGUGGUAUGAUUUAAAAAUAUGGUUAAGAGGUAUGUGAAUAUGAGUAUAAUGAUUGUUUUUGAAAUCAUUAUACAGUACCCUUCCCUCUAGAUACAAUGAUACAGGUGAUAUGAGAUGAGAGGCCUUUGGGGCCCGUCUGAACACACAUAGAGGCUUUUGGCCGUGUGUUUGGGCGCUUUUGCCUUUUGGGGGCAUAUGCAUCCGGUAUGAUGAUUACAGAGAUACAUAUAUGAGAUAUAGACAGAUAUUGAGAUACAAAUGAUACAGAUGAGUUACAGGCCUUUGGGGCCCGUCUGAGUACACACAGAGGCUUUGGGCCGUGUGCUUGAGCGCUUUUGUCCUUUGGGGACUAGAUUAUGCAUGCACAGAUAUGAUGAGAUAUGAGAUGGUAUUUCCCUGUCUAUUCGUGUAGCUUCGGGGCGUGACGUUACCCAGAUAGUACGUCGUUGCCCGUCCGUUGAGGUCCGGAUAUGACGAGAUUAUUUCCCUGGGUACUUGUUUGGUGAUGAUUUCCAGAUUUGUGAAUUCUAUAUGAUAUUGUGAUAUGAUUUCCAUGGUUAGUAUCUGAUUUAAAUGUUUAAUGAUUUGUUACUGGUUUCUCGCUUAUGGUUUAAUGAAAGCGUGUUUGGAAAUGGUAUGAUUAUUUCUUUUAAAGUAAGAAUUAAUUUUUAUAACUACUAUCCAUUCACUGAUCUCACUGAGUUUUAAACUCAUCCCGUUUUUAUUAUAUUUUCCCCCCUCACUAGGAGGUUGCAGGUACACCAGAUCGACCCAACGACUGUAAAUAUAUUUUGAGUCUUGGCCACGUGAUGGUGUUAGACGAUAUAAAUAUUUUUGUUAGGACAUCUUGGUUAUCUUGUCCUGUUGGGAUUGUAUAAUUUUGUUAUAUUAUUCUUUUAGGAUUAAGAAUAAAACUCUGGAGAUAUAAAACUCAUCAUUUUGGUUGAGGAUGUUGAACACUGGAGUUUGUUGUAUAUUGAAUUGUAUUGGGAGUGUUAUAUUCAUAUUUGUAGAUUGAGAGUGUUAUAUAUAUAAAGGAGACUCUGCCGAAUUUUCGGCAGAAUCUGUACGAAUAAAAUUAUUAUCAAGUCUGUUUUGAUGAGACUAGAUAGACGCGCCUAGGGGGAUUCGGGGCAGGUCGUUUCAUGAUGUCCCUGAUGUUUUUUAAAAAAGCAAAAGAGAAAAAAAAAUUGACACCUAAUUUUAAAUUAUUUUAAAUUUUUAUAUUUUGAUCCAUUGACC
rnacentral:lncRNA from 1 species